UACGGAAGGCAGCAGUGGGGAAUAUUGCACAAUGGGCGAAAGCCUGAUGCAGCUAUGCCGCGUGUAUGAAGAAGGCCUUAGGGUUGUAAAGUACUUUCAUCGGGGAGGAAAAACAAAACUAAUAAUUUUAUUUCUUGACGUUACCCGAAAAAGAAGCACCGGCUAACUCCGUGCCAGCAGCCGCGGUAAUACGGAGGGUGCUAGCGUUAAUCAGAAUUACUGGGCGUAAAGAGCACGUAGGUGGUUUUUUUAAGUCAGAUGUGAAAUCCCUGGGCUUAACCUAGGAACUGCAUUUUGAAACUGAAAUACUAGAGUAUCGUAGAGGGAGGUAGAAUUCUAGGUGUAGCGGUGAAAUGCGUAGAUAUCUGGAGGAAUACCUGUGGCGAAAGCGGCCUCCUAAACGAAUACUGACACUGAGGUGCGAAAGCGUGGGGAGCAAACGAGGGAUUAGGAUACCCGU
rnacentral:rRNA from 1 species